UGGGGAAUUUUGGACAAUGGGCGAAAGCCUGAUCCAGCAAUGCCGCGUGUGUGAAGAAGGCCUUCGGGUUGUAAAGCACUUUUGUCCGGAAAGAAAUCCUUGGCUCUAAUACAGUCGGGGGAUGACGGUACCGGAAGAAUAAGCACCGGCUGACUACGUGCCAGCAGCCGCGGUAAUACGUAGGGUGCAAGCGUUAAUCGGAAUUACUGGGCGUAAAGCGUGCGCAGGCGGUUUGCUAAGACCGAUGUGAAAUCCCCGGGCUCAACCUGGGAACUGCAUUGGUGACUGGCAGGCUAGAGUAUGGCAGAGGGGGGUAGAAUUCCACGUGUAGCAGUGAAAUGCGUAGAGAUGUGGAGGAAUACCGAUGGCGAAGGCAGCCCCCUGGGCCAAUACUGACGCUCAUGCACGAAAAGCGUGGGGGAGCAAAACAGGAUUAGAUACCCCUGGUAGUCCACGCCCUAAAACGAUGUCAACUAGUUGUUGGGGAUUCAUUUCCUUAGUAACGUAGCUAACGCGUGAAGUUGACCGCCUGGGGAGUACGGUCGCAAGAUUAAAACUCAAAUGAAUUGACGGGGUCAUAGCUGUUUCCU
rnacentral:rRNA from 1 species